UUCGUGGUCCUUAUUACUCUAUUCCAUUCCCAUGAGCCAAAUGAAACUAACAAUACAAGUGAUAGAAAGGCUACCCUCCAUACGGUAGCCCAAGAGCUUAUAACAUAAUUCAAUAAAACAGGAAAAAUUUUGAAAAAAAAAAUAUAUAUUGUUUGACAAUUUUUUACAAUGUGAAAGCUGGGCUUUCUAGAAGAAAUCUCAUGAAUGUGCGCUCCAUCUGGGCGAAAGACUGUACUUACCAUGCCAGAUUGAAUCUCGAUUUCCGUUUGAAUUGCUUCUUUGUCACACACCAUGGUCCAGGGAAGGUGCUUAAGUUGCUGAUAACCUUUGCUCCAAACCAUGCAGUGUCUGCACCAUAGGGAGGAGGAAUGACUCUUAGUCCACUGCAAAUUGAUGCUGGAAGAAGUUCAUGCAAUUCUUUCUCCAGCCUCUCUGCUAGUCCAGGUAAACAUGAAGUGCCUCCUGACAAAACCACAGUCUUAAACCAAGCAUCAUCGCCAGCCAACUCUGCAGCAUGACAGUGAUCCAUGCAAAGUCCUACUGCCUGGUGCAAACCCAUUGCACGCACUCCUGCAAUUCGUGGCUGGAAUAAAAUUUCCCCUGUUUUAAAGCGUUCUUUUGAAAGGGUAAACCAUCCUUCACCUGGUACUUCUAGUGAUGCUUGUGUGUCUUUAUGUAACUCAGCUUUGUAAUCAGCAGCAACAUAACAAAGGUUCUCUUUCAACGUGCGAACAGUAUAAAGUGAUUCAAAAUUGAUAUUAUUCUGUUGCAUCUGUUCUCUAAGGAAUCCUGUAACUUUUAAUGCUCCCAUACCAACAACUUCAACACCCACCUUGCGCAUUACUUUGCCACGUAAAAUUGGAACAACAGAUGUUACUUGAAAGCCAAUAUUAACAACAAUUCCUGAAGUUCGCCGAGCUGCAUAUAGUGCUAAGGUUGCCUGAUUAAUAGUACAUACAGCUGGAGCAUUCAUGUCAAAAAGAGCACUGUACAUGGCUUCUUUUAGCUGUCGUCUUGAUGCUUUGGCAGAUUCAGUAUCAUCAUAAUGGCAAAUUGGAAGGGACACCACAAUUGGCUGUGCUGAUGGUCUUACCUGCAUCCUGCUAUAAAUAGUAGCAAAAAAAUGUCGAAGCCUAGAAUACAUUGGAGACUCAAUAUUACCAAAUUCCAAAAAUGUAGCUGAACGCCCAGAUGGACAAGCAUAUUUGCUCCAACCAAA
rnacentral:misc_RNA from 1 species